rnacentral:rRNA from 1 species
GUGAGGAAUAUUGGUCAAUGGACGAGAGUCUGAACCAGCCAAGUCGCGUGAAGGAAGAAGGAUCUAUGGUUCGUAAACUUCUUUUGCAGGGGAAUAAAGUGCAGGACGUGUCCUGUUUUGUAUGUACCCUGAGAAUAAGGAUCGGCUAACUCCGUGCCAGCAGCCGCGGUAAUACGGAGGAUCCGAGCGUUAUCCGGAUUUAUUGGGUUUAAAGGGUGCGUAGGUGGUUUGAUAAGUCAGCGGUGAAAGUUUGCAGCUUAACUGUAAAAAUGCCGUUGAAACUGUCGGACUUGAGUGUAAAUGAGGUAGGCGGAAUGCGUGGUGUAGCGGUGAAAUGCAUAGAUAUCACGCAGAACUCCGAUUGCGAAGGCAGCUUACUAAGCUACAACUGACACUGAAGCACGAAAGCGUGGGGAUCAAACAGGAUUAGAAACCCCUGUAGUCC